rnacentral:rRNA from 1 species
GACGGAGGGGGCGAGCGUUGUCCGGAAUUACUGGGCGUAAAGCGCACGUAGGCGGUCAGCUACGGCGGUGGUGAGAGCUCCCGGCUCAACUGGGAGAGGCCCGCCGCAACGGGUUGACUCGAGGGUGGUAGAGGCAGAUGGAAUUCCUGGUGUAGCGGUGAAAUGCGUAGAGAUCAGGAGGAACACCCGUGGCGAAGGCGGUCUGCUGGGCCACACCUGACGCUGAGGUGCGAAAGCCAGGGGAGUGAACGGGAUUAGAUACCCCGGUAAUCCUGGCCGUAAACGAUGGGCACUAGGUGUCAGCGGUAUCGACCCCGCUGGUGCCGUAGCUAACGCGUGAAGUGUCCCGCCUGGGGAGUACGGCCGCAAGGUUGAA